UACGUAGGGGGCUAGCGUUGUCCGGAAUCAUUGGGCGUAAAGCGCGCGUAGGCGGCCCGGUAAGUCCGCUGUGAAAGUCAAAGGCUCAACCUUUGAAUGUCAGCGGAUACUGCCGGGCUAGAGUCCGGAAGAGGCGAGUGGAACUCCUGGUGUAGCGGUGGAAUGCGCAGAUAUCAGGAAGAACACCGGUGGCGAAGGCGGGUCUCUGGGCCGAUACUGACGCUGAGGAGCGAAAGCGUGGGGGAGCGAACAGGG
rnacentral:rRNA from 1 species